AUUGAACGCUGGCGGAAUGCUUUACACAUGCAAGUCGAACGGCAGCACGGACUUCGGUCUGGUGGCGAGUGGCGAACGGGUGAGUAAUGUAUCGGAACGUGCCCAGUCGUGGGGGAUAACGUAGUGAAAAUUACGCUAAUACCGCAUACGAUCUAUGGAUGAAAGCGGGGGAUCGCAAGACCUCGCGCGAUUGGAGCGGCCGAUAUCAGAUUAGGUAGUUGGUGGGGUAAAGGCCCACCAAGCCAACGAUCUGUAGCUGGUCUGAGAGGACGACCAGCCACACUGGAACUGAGACACGGUCCAGACUCCUACGGGAGGCAGCAGUGGGGAAUUUUGGACAAUGGGCGAAAGCCUGAUUCAGCCAUUCCGCGUGCAGGAUGAAGGCCCUCGGGUUGUAAACUGCUUUUGUACAGAACGAAAAGGUUUCUACUAAUACUAGGAGCUCAUGACGGUACUGUAAGAAUAAGCACCGGCUAACUACGUGCCAGCCGCCGCCGUAA
rnacentral:rRNA from 1 species